UUAAGCGACUAAGCGUACACGGUGGAUGCCCUGGCAGUCAGAGGCGAUGAAGGACGUGCUAAUCUGCGAAAAGCGUCGGUAAGGUGAUAUGAACCGUUAUAACCGGCGAUGUCCGAAUGGGGAAACCCAGUGUGAUUCGUCACACUAUCGUUAACUGAAUACAUAGGUUAACGAGGCGAACCGGGGGAACUGAAACAUCUAAGUACCCCGAGGAAAAGAAAUCAACCGAGAUUCCCCCAGUAGCGGCGAGCGAACGGGGAGCAGCCCAGAGUCUGAAUCAGCUUGUGUGUUAGUGGAACGGUCUGGAAAGUCCGACGGUACAGGGUGAUAGUCCCGUACACCAAAAUGCACAGGUUGUGAACUCGAAGAGUAGGGCGGGACACGUGGUAUCCUGUCUGAAUAUGGGGGGACCAUCCUCCAAGGCUAAAUACUCCUGACUGACCGAUAGUGAACCAGUACCGUGAGGGAAAGGCGAAAAGAACCCCGGCGAGGGGAGUGAAAAAGAACCUGAAACCGUGUACGUACAAGCAGUGGGAGCACCUUCGGGUGUGACUGCGUACCUUUUGUAUAAUGGGUCAGCGACUUAUAUUCUGUAGCAAGGUUAACCGUAUAGGGGAGCCGCAGGGAAACCGAGUCUUAACUGGGCGUUAAGUUGCAGGGUAUAGACCCGAAACCCGGUGAUCUAGCCAUGGGCAGGUUGAAGGUUGGGUAACACUAACUGGAGGACCGAACCGACUAAUGUUGAAAAAUUAGCGGAUGACUUGUGGCUGGGGGUGAAAGGCCAAUCAAACCGGGAGAUAGCUGGUUCUCCCCGAAAGCUAUUUAGGUAGCGCCUCGUGAACUCAUCUUCGGGGGUAGAGCACUGUUUCGGCUAGGGGGUCAUCCCGACUUACCAACCCGAUGCAAACUACGAAUACCGAAGAAUGUUAUCACGGGAGACACACGGCGGGUGCUAACGUCCGUCGUGAAGAGGGAAACAACCCAGACCGCCAGCUAAGGUCCCAAAGUCAUGGUUAAGUGGGAAACGAUGUGGGAAGGCACAGACAGCCAGGAUGUUGGCUUAGAAGCAGCCAUCAUUUAAAGAAAGCGUAAUAGCUCACUGGUCGAGUCGGCCUGCGCGGAAGAUGUAACGGGGCUAAACCAUGCACCGAAGCUGCGGCAGCGACACUAUGUGUUGUUGGGUAGGGGAGCGUUCUGUAAGCCUGCGAAGGUGUGCUGUGAGGCAUGCUGGAGGUAUCAGAAGUGCGAAUGCUGACAUAAGUAACGAUAAAGCGGGUGAAAAGCCCGCUCGCCGGAAGACCAAGGGUUCCUGUCCAACGUUAAUCGGGGCAGGGUGAGUCGACCCCUAAGGCGAGGCCGAAAGGCGUAGUCGAUGGGAAACAGGUUAAUAUUCCUGUACUUGGUGUUACUGCGAAGGGGGGACGGAGAAGGCUAUGUUAGCCGGGCGACGGUUGUCCCGGUUUAAGCAUGUAGGCUGAUUGUCCAGGCAAAUCCGGAUAAUCAAGGCUGAGGUGUGAUGACGAGGCACUACGGUGCUGAAGUAACAAAUGCCCUGCUUCCAGGAAAAGCCUCUAAGCAUCAGGUAACAUCAAAUCGUACCCCAAACCGACACAGGUGGUCAGGUAGAGAAUACCAAGGCGCUUGAGAGAACUCGGGUGAAGGAACUAGGCAAAAUGGUGCCGUAACUUCGGGAGAAGGCACGCUGGUGUGUAGGUGAAGCCCCUGCGGGUGGAGCUGAGACCAGUCGAAGAUACCAGCUGGCUGCAACUGUUUAUUAAAAACACAGCACUGUGCAAACACGAAAGUGGACGUAUACGGUGUGACGCCUGCCCGGUGCCGGAAGGUUAAUUGAUGGGGUUAUCCGUAAGGAGAAGCUCUUGAUCGAAGCCCCGGUAAACGGCGGCCGUAACUAUAACGGUCCUAAGGUAGCGAAAUUCCUUGUCGGGUAAGUUCCGACCUGCACGAAUGGCGUAAUGAUGGCCAGGCUGUCUCCACCCGAGACUCAGUGAAAUUGAACUCGCUGUGAAGAUGCAGUGUACCCGCGGCAAGACGGAAAGACCCCGUGAACCUUUACUAUAGCUUGACACUGAACAUUGAGCCUUGAUGUGUAGGAUAGGUGGGAGGCUUUGAAGCGUGGACGCCAGUCUGCGUGGAGCCAACCUUGAAAUACCACCCUUUAAUGUUUGAUGUUCUAACGUUGGCCCCUGACCGGGGUUGCGGACAGUGUCUGGUGGGUAGUUUGACUGGGGCGGUCUCCUCCCAAAGCGUAACGGAGGAGCACGAAGGUUAGCUAAUCCUGGUCGGACAUCAGGAGGUUAGUGCAAUGGCAUAAGCUAGCUUGACUGCGAGCGUGACGGCGCGAGCAGGUGCGAAAGCAGGUCAUAGUGAUCCGGUGGUUCUGAAUGGAAGGGCCAUCGCUCAACGGAUAAAAGGUACUCCGGGGAUAACAGGCUGAUACCGCCCAAGAGUUCAUAUCGACGGCGGUGUUUGGCACCUCGAUGUCGGCUCAUCACAUCCUGGGGCUGAAGUAGGUCCCAAGGGUAUGGCUGUUCGCCAUUUAAAGUGGUACGCGAGCUGGGUUUAGAACGUCGUGAGACAGUUCGGUCCCUAUCUGCCGUGGGCGCUGGAGAAUUGAGGGGGGCUGCUCCUAGUACGAGAGGACCGGAGUGGACGCAUCACUGGUGUUCGGGUUGUCAUGCCAAUGGCACUGCCCGGUAGCUAAAUGCGGAAGAGAUAAGUGCUGAAAGCAUCUAAGCACGAAACUUGCCCCGAGAUGAGUUCUCCCUGAGACUAUAAGUCUCCUGAAGGAACGUUAAAGACGAUGACGUUGAUAGGCCGGGUGUGUAAGCGCAGCGAUGCGUUGAGCUAACCGGUACUAAUGAACCGUGAGGCUUAACCUU
rnacentral:rRNA from 1 species